UGGAGACCCAUUGAAACCGGCUGGGCCAUUACCAUCUAGAAGCUGGUGGGGCUGUGGCAAUUAGAAGGACUGUUAGCCCUAGUUAAUAUGGUCAAGUGAUGUCGAUUGUUUAGGUCACAAGCAGCGGCAGCUGAGCCACUACCCUGAACUCCACAUGAGAACAUCGGCUUCGUGAGCCCCACAGGCGACAUGUGCAGGGUCUGGAGAAUGAUGGCUGGGGCACAAGAUGUAGGUUCGGAAGUGGAGAAAGCAGGGUCACCAAGGUUAAUACAGGUCAUUAUUCAGUUUUUAGGUGCAAGGAACAGAACCGAUGCUGCUGGACUUAAGGAGCAAAGGAAUUUAUCAGAAGGAUAUUGGAUGGCUUGCAGGAACCUGAGAGGCCCAGAGCCAGGCACAGGAACAAUUGCCCACAAGAAAGCCUUAGAAACACUUCUGCGCUGGACCCCACAGGUUUCACCACUGACAACACGGGCUGAAUAAUGCGGCUACAGUCAUUGCCGUCAUCCACUCUGCACCACACCUGCUUCUUCCAAACCCCUGAUUUCUCAUCAAUCAGGGUUAGGGAAGAUGUCCCUGACUGGCAUGUGCCUUCAGUUGUACUCAAGAAGGUGGAAAAGCAAGAUCUGAUACUUUCUGAUUCUCUAGUGGGAAUGGGUUCUGCUCAAAUAGAGAAAGGGGCUUUCAAGGUUUGCCUGUCUGUGUGACUAGCACACUCUACUCUUCCCUCCUGGUUUAUUUUCCCACUAUAGAUACAGUGGUACUUAUCUAGCUGUCCUAGCCUUAAGGGGUGGGAAUGCCAGGUUUACAAAUAAAAAUACAGGUCGGGCA